UACGUGAGGGGCGAACGUUGUUCGGUGUCACUGGGCUUAAAGGGCGCGUAGGUGGCUAUGCAAGUAAGGUGUGAAAGCCCUCGGCUUACCCGGGGAAUUGCGCCUUAUACUGCGUGGCUUGAGGAUUUCAGGGGAAGGGGGAACUCCAGGUGUAGCGGUGAAAUGCGCAGAUAUCUGGGGGAAGGCCGGCGGCGAAGGCGCCCUUCUGGGAAAUACCUGACACUGAGGCGCGAAAGCGUGGGGAGCAAACAGG
rnacentral:rRNA from 2 species